UUGGGCGUAAAGCGUGUGUAGGCGGUUUAUUAAGUCAUUUGUAAAAGAUCUCAGCUCAACUGAGUAAAGCGAGUGAAACUGGUAGACUUGAAUACGGUAGAGGUAAGUGGAAUUCCAUGUGUAGCGGUGGAAUGCGUAGAUAUAUGGAGGAACACCAAUGGCGAAGGCAACUUACUGGGCCGGAAUUGACGCUGAGACACGAAAGCGUGGGGAGCAAACAGGAUUAGAUACCCUGGUAGUCCACGCCGUAAACGAUGAGAACUAAGUGUUGGGGUAACACUCAGUGCUGAAGUUAACGCAUUAAGUUCUCCGCCUGGGUAGUACGAUCGCAAGAUUGAAACUCAAAGGAAUUGACGGGAACCCGCACAAGCGGUGGAGUAUGUUGUUUAAUUCGAAGAUACACGAAGAACCUUACCAGGUCUUGACAUACCAUUGACAGGUCUAGAGAUAGAUUUUCCCUUCGGGGCAAUGGAUACAGGUGGUGCAUGGUUGUCGUCAGCUCGUGCCGUGAGGUGUUGGGUUAAGUCCCGCAACGAGCGCAACCCUUAUUGUUAGUUGCUAAUAUUAAGUUAAGGACUCUAAUGAGACUGCCAGCGACAAGCUGGAGGAAGGUGGGGAUGACGUCAAAUCAUCAUGCCCCUUAUGACCUGGGCUACAAACGUACUACAAUGGCUGAUACAAAGAGAAGCAAGAUCGCGAGAUGGAGCAAACCUCAUAAAAUCAGUCCCAGUUCGGACUGGAGUCUGCAACUCGACUCCACGAAGUCGGAAUCGCUAGUAAUCGCAAGUCAGCAGAUUGCGGUGAAUACGUUCCCGGGUUUUGUACACACCGCCCGUCAAACCACGAGAGUUUGUAACACCCGAAGCCGGUGGCCUAACUAGUAAUAGGAGGAGCCGUCUAAGGUGGGACAGAUGAUUGGGGUUAAGUCGUAACAAGGUAAAGGGCGAAUUCGUUUAAACCUGCAGGACUAGUCCC
rnacentral:rRNA from 1 species